GCGCCCGUAGCUCAAUGGUAGAGCAGUGGCCUCUUAAGCCAUUGGCUGAAGGUUCGAGUCCUUCCGGGCGUA
rnacentral:tRNA from 1 species